rnacentral:ncRNA from 1 species
UCGGGUUCUUACCGAUUAAUAGGGAAUCCUGUGAAAAUCAGGGGCUAUGCCCGUAGCUGUAAGUUCCAGAAAACGCUUCCGGCAAGGAUGUCACUGAUAUUUUUUAUCGGGAAGACGUCGGAAGUGGAACAAGCCAGAAUACCUGCCCGUCUC